ACAAAAACCUUAAUAUCACUAUUCUCUCAACAGUCACAUCUCUCUCUACCUUCUCUCUAUCUCUCUUUCUCUCUCUAAUCCGAUGAAAACUGCCACUCCCUCGACUUUUACGCCUCUUCCACCGACAAAGACACCACUAAAAGCCUAUGUCAGAUGAGACCUGCCGACCAUCCCAUUAUCGCCGUCGUCCGUACCUCUAACGCCGCCAGCCACCACUGCAAGCAGCCAUGCAGCCGGCGAUCCUCCCAAUGCUGCUGCCACCUUCGAGGCCCCCUACCGACAACAAUAUCAAUGACCAAGCCGCCAACAAUACCAGCACUGUCGUCGCCUUCUAGCGCUGCCACUUCCCAAGCCGCCUUCCCUCACAUGCAACUGACACCGGCGAACCAGCAGCCCGUGCCACCACAACAACACCAACAGCCAUCCUUAUCUCUCACGCCACCACUGUCACUCCGACGCCCUUGACUCCGAUUGGAAUUCACUGUAAAAUCAUUUACUAGUACAUGAAAGAUGUACCGAUGUAAAUUCGUCACAGACACUUUUCAUCGAAUACUUUGACUCACUUCUAGUUACAUCUUCCCCUAUUAAAGUUCAUAAUUAUUUUCAAACUCCUCGGGCAUUUUCGAUUUUGAAGAAGACAGUCGGUUCCACUCUGCUUUUUCAAUCUCUUUGCUUAAAGGUCUUCUUUAUUAUCUUUCUUUGGGGCUUACCGGUAAGAUUCUAUCGAUGUAAUUUUCUUGCGCUACGUGAUAACUUUGUGAUAUUAGAAAAUAUGACUAUAGGAUUAUUCAAUGCUUACUUGUUCUACGUUUAAUUAUGCUCUAUCUUGAACCCCUUUCUUUUGUGUUCUUUCGCUCCGCUGCUGUGUUUGUCCUAACAGAUGAAACUAAAGUGGUGUUUUGAAGAGUCACUCGAAAUGGGAAAGGAGGCUCCCACUUAAGUGUAGUUUAUUUUAUUUAGUAUGUAAGAAGUUAUUUGUUCAAACAUUAUUCUGAUGUAAUAAUAAAAUUGGGGACCCUCGAGGGAGGGGUUAUGUGCUCUA